rnacentral:tRNA from 1 species
AUGUAGCUCAGUAGUAGAGCACUUGCCUAACAUGUGUGAAGCACUGGGUUCAAUCCCCAGUAU